rnacentral:rRNA from 1 species
CCUACGGGAGGCAGCAGUGAGGAAUAUUGGUCAAUGGCCGGAAGGCUGAACCAGCCAAGCCGCGUGAAGGACGAAGGUGCCAAGCAUUGUAAACUUCUUUUGUCAAGGGACAAAAUCAGGCUCGAGAGCCUGACCGAGGGUACUUGAAGAAAAAGCAUCGGCUAACUCGGUGCCAGCAGCCGCGGUAAUACGGAGGAUGCGCGCGUUAUCCGGAUUGAUUGGGUUUAAAGGGUGCGUAGGCGGGCUGUUAAGUCAGCGGUAAAAGCCCGGGGCUCAACCCCGGCGAGCCGUUGAAACUGGCUGUCUUGAGAUGUCGAGAGGUAUGCGGAAUGCGCAGUGUAGCGGUGAAAUGCUUAGAUAUUGCGCAGAACUCCGAUUGCGAAGGCAGCAUACCGGCGGCGAUCUGACGCUGAGGCACGAAAGCGUGGGUAUCGAACAGGAUUAGAUACCCCAGUAGUC